rnacentral:rRNA from 1 species
AUUGAACGCUGGCGGCAGGCCUAACACAUGCAAGUCGAACGAGUGGCGGACGGGUGAGUAAUGUCUGGGAAACUGCCUGAUGGAGGGGGAUAACUACUGGAAACGGUAGCUAAUACCGCAUACCAUCGGAUGUGCCCAGAUGGGAUUAGCUAGUAGGUGGGGUAACGGCUUACCUAGGCGACGAUCCCUAGCUGGUCUGAGAGGAUGACGAGCCACAAUGGAACGGAGACACGGCCCAGACGCGUACGGGAGGCAGCAGUGGGGAAUAUGGCAGAAUGGGCGCAAGCCUGAUGCGGCAAUGCCGCGUGUUUGAAGAAGGCCUUCGGGUUGUAAAGUACUUGCAGCGGGGAGGCGUUACCCGUAGAAGAAGCACCGGCUAACUCCGUGCCAGCAGCCGCGGUAAUUC